rnacentral:rRNA from 1 species
GAUGAACGCUGGCGGCGUGCUUAACACAUGCAAGUCGAACGGAAAGGCCCAAGCUUGCUUGGGUACUCGAGUGGCGAACGGGUGAGUAACACGUGGGUGAUCUGCCCUGCACUUCGGGAUAAGCCUGGGAAACUGGGUCUAAUACCGGAUAGGACCACUUCUUGGAUGUUGUGGUGGAAAGUUUUUUCGGUGUGGGAUGAGCUCGCGGCCUAUCAGCUUGUUGGUGGGGUAAUGGCCUACCAAGGCGUCGACGGGUAGCCGGCCUGGGGGGGUGUACGGCCACAUUGGGACUGAGAGACGGCCCAGGCUCCGACGGGGGGGAGCAGUGGGGAAUAUUGCACAAUGGGCGCAAGCCUGAUGCAGCGACGCCGCGUGGGGGAUGACGGCCUUCGGGUUGAAAACUCCUUUCGCUAGGGACGAAGCGUUUUGUGACGGUACCUGGAGAAGAAGCACCGGCUAACUACGUG